rnacentral:lncRNA from 1 species
UUAUUGAUAGAUUAUUCUUGUGGAAUAUCUAUAUUUGUUCAUGUAAAUAUAUCUAUGUGGAAGGAUAUAAUUAUGAUGUGAUCUUGUGUUGUUGAUGAUAAUGUUGUGAUAUUGUGAUUGUUGGAUAAAUAGCCAAACCGGGUUCCAAGCCUUUAAUUGGGUGAUUGGUUGCGGUUAAGAUGCUAUUUAUCAUUUUUGUGUUUUGAUAUUAAAUAGUCAAACCGGGUUCCAAGCCUUUAAUUGGGUGAUUGGUUACGGUUAUGAUACUAUUUUUAUUUUGUUAUUUGUUAUUGGAUAAUCAAACUGGAUUCUAAGCCUUUGGCUAGGUGAUUGAUUACAGUUAUAAAUAGAGCUCUAGUCCGUCUGUCGGUGUAGGUCAUGGGAGAUACCUUAUGGUAUCUGGGACCCAUGGGUACACAAAUUGUUGUUGUAGGUCAUGAGAGGUAUUUAUUAAUAUGUGGGACUCAUGGGUACAUGUUAUUUGUAAAAGUGUUGAAAAUGUGGUUUUAACAUUGUUCUUAAUUGUUGUCAAUUAAAUUUCUUGUUUUGAGUAUUUCCUGAACUAUCCUUUUUGCAGGAUUCACUUAUGAUUUUGAUUGUUUUGAAAAUUAUUGUGUUUUCUUAUUUACCCUAUUUUGAAUUUUAUUGUUUUGAGGCGAUUCCUGAACUAAGUUCUAAAACAGGAAUUACCGGUUUUAUCUUAUGUGAUGAGUUAUUUUUGGGAGUUACUCAUACAGGCUUUUUAGCUUACCGGGUUUGUUGUUUACAACCCGAUGCACCAAUUCAUGGUGUAGGGGUUAGACCUGCAGGUGUUGAUCAGCAUGGUUGAAGCGGAGGCAUAGUGGCAGGAUUUUAGCUUCUGUGCACUUUAUUUUGUUUGUAUAUUAUUGCACUUUGUUUUUAAGCUCAUGUGAGCGUCCUUAUUUUACUAGACUUUUGAAGUUAAUGUAAUUAAGGAGAUGUAAUGUUUAAUUCAGUUGUUGAGUUUUGUUGACAUUUACACUUCUAGCAUUUGAGUUUAGUUUGGAAGUUGUUGAGCAGGUUUUGUGAUUUUAAGAUGUUAGGAUAUAUCAUGCCCAAAUUUUUGAAAAUUAUCCUUCGAAAAUUGGGGUGUGACAUGAAGGGUCAAGAGUUGACUUUUUAAUCUGUUGGGUUUCUCGAGAACCUUCUUUCACGAAAGUUGUAAAGCACGACGAUACGAGUUCGUAGACACGUGGCACGCGUAAAACGGACUUCGUAUGAGAAAGUUAUGGUCAGCAGAAGUUCGUGGCUUUACAGGAUUAUGGGUUUAUUAAGAAAGUUAGGGUUCCCAUUUCAUUAUUUUCAUAAACCUCAUUUCUUUCUCCCUCUCCCUCUCUCUCCCCCCGAACCCUCACUAUCAGCGUUCUCCAACCGACCCGACCCGGACCCGGUCAACCCGACCCGAUUUUUCUGGCCAACUCCGACGGACUCAGACGGCGGCACCGGCUGGAACUCUUCCUCUCCUCGACGCAAUCCUCCCUGUGUUGGUGAGUGAGGAUGACUCAAGCGGAUCAGUGCUAAUCGAGCGCCACAAUGAGGGUGGCGACCUGGUUUGCAACCCGAUCGAAAUUCCACCUCCGGCGGCGACAAGGCCUAAAAUCGGUCAGGAUAGGAAGGUCUAGGUGCCCAUGUUCGAUCCUUGGUGGUCUCUGGAAGCUUGAAUCACUGUGUGUAGUUGCUGUGGUGGAUUCUAACUUUUCGGUGAGUUUUCCGGCGUGCUCCGAUCGAUUUGGCGGUUACUCUAGGUAUGAAAAUUGCUCCCCUUACCUUAUUGUUCAUGUUGGGUAUAGUGGGUACGCUUUUUGUUGCAGGGUUGUAUGGUGGUGCGUGGGGCCCACUCGCUACCGUCGGUGGUGGCGCGUGGCGGCGCGUCCGAGAGGAGAUUGGUGACGUGCCCAUUACCGGGCAUGCGACAAUUAAAAACCCUUUUUGACAAUCGUAAUAUAAGGCAAAUAAGGUUCGAUCAAUCCGAGGACUAACGGUGCUCCUGUAACAAUAGUCAUGUAAAAGUUAGUACUAUAAACAAGUAUUCACAUAUUUACAAAGAUAAACUGGGGGUUUUGAGGUUUGUUUUAAUGUUCCUACUAAAAGAUAAAGAUACAAGCUAAACUAAUAUAUACAAGUGAUCGAUUCAUUCAUUGCAUCAACAAAGAGAGAGACUCAAUUUCUAACCACAAAAUUAGAGAGACGUUUCAAUCCUAAACAAUCUGAAUUAUAUCAACUCAACUACUAGCAACAACCUCAAGUACAUACUGAUCCAGCUAUGCACCCAUAGAUUCUUCUUAGCUUAUCAUCUUUAAUUCGUACACCACGCAAUCAAAGAUUAUUUCAUGCAUAGGCUGCUAUCAAUGCUACAAGCAUCUGUCUACUCUAAACAUGAAUCAUUAAGUUCUAAAGAAUCGAGAUUGAACAUAUAUAACUCGGUGAUGAAAUCCCACUUAUUACUAUGCAACCUAUGUUCUCAACUACUCACCAUAGUUUCCACUACUAUAGAUCAAUGCUUACCACACUGGCAUAGCACUAAAUCAUGGCAUACCGUUAACAUGCAUUUUGGAGUCUAUUCAAACACAAACAUAGCUUUACUAAUACAAGAGUUAACAUAACCAGAUUGCAAAGAAUAUCAUAAACAAAACUUUAACAUGCUUUACUAAAAUAUGAAUCCACUAAUAUCAAACAACCAAAACAAACAUCCAAUUCCAUUGAUGAAAACCGAAUCCAUGUUCUCAAAAUUGAAAAGAAAACUAAACAACUGUAGAGGCAUAGUCCACACUUUUUUUGAUCUUCAAGAAGCUUGAUGAUGAAAAAGAGGUGCUACGGCUUCAAGGCUCCUACUCUCCAAGGCUGCCGCGCUUGAUACAACGUCAAGGCUAGGGCAAAAGGAAGGGAACUCGCAAGGGAAAGGAAGCUGCUUGGCUGCUCUCUAUUUCUCUAAGGUGUUUGCGUGAAUGAAUGAUGAUUAUUUAUGAAGCCAAGCAGCCUUUAUAUAGUGUCCAUGAAUUGCUCUUGGCCCUUGAUUCAAUCUUGAUUCAACGGUCCUCCUUGAUUGCAUAAAAUCUGAUAUUUAUCUUCGCUGAUAUUUUCCUUAUCUUCAAAGAUAUUUAUCUUAUCUCUAAAGAUAUUUCUAGAAAUGUGCAAUCAUGCUUUGAAUGUAGCUUGAAUCAUGUCUGAAUACAUUACUUAGCCUCCAAGAGUCUUCAUAGAUCUUCAUUUAGGAUUACUUGUUCAA